rnacentral:rRNA from 1 species
GUACACGCUGUGACUAGCAUAUCAAUAAGCGGAGGAAAAGAAACUAACAAGGAUUCCCCUAGUAACGGCGAGUGAAGCGGGAAGAGCUCAAAUUUGAAAUCUUAAAGGGUUUCCCUUUACGAAUUGUAGUUUAAAGAAGUGUUUUUCUGUUGAGGUUUUGGUAAAAGUUCUUUGGAAUAGGACAUCAUAGAGGGUGAGAAUCCCGUAUUUGACCUUUACUUUCAACUUUGUGAUACACUUUCAAAGAGUCGGAUUGUUUGGGAAUGCCAGGUCCCAAAAUGGGUGGUAAAUUUCAUCUAAAGCUAAAUAUUGGCGAGAGACCGAUAGCGAACAAGUACCGUGAGGGAAAGAUGAAAAGAACUUUGAAAAGAGAGUUAAAGCAGUACGUGAAAUUGUCAAAAGGGAAGCGUUUGACACCAGUGUUGUUUUUCUGAAAAUCAAUUAAAGAACUGUUUAUGCUAAGCUGUUUAGACUUUAUCAGCUAUCUGUUUAGUUUUGAGCUUUUCUUUAAUGCACUUUUCAGUUAACAAGUCAACAUCAAUUUCUUUUGCUGUAAAAAAGCUUGAGGAAGGUGGCUUGAGAUUCGUCUUAAGUGUUUAUAGCCUCUUGCCUAUGCAGUCGGAGAGAUUGAGGUCUGCAGCGUAGAUCCUUCGGGGCUAAAUGCAUUUGUGCUAAGUUAUAGCAUUUUAUAGACAACUUGUUGACUAUGAUUUGUCUUGUAGCUUACUCGCUUAUGUUAUUUUACCUACGCUUAGGAUGUUGACUGAUAUGUAGUCGUA